CCUACGGGUGGCUGCAGUGGGGGAUAUUGCACAAUGGGGGGAACUCUGAUGCAGCGACGCCGCGUGGGUGAAGGAGUGCUUCGGCAUGUAAAGCCCUAUCGGCAGGGAAGAAGCAAGACGGUACCUGACUAAGAACCCCCGGCUAACUACGUGCCAGCAGCCGCGGUAAUACGCAGGGGGCCAGCGUUGUCCGGAUUCACUGGGCGUAAGGGGAGCGUAGACGGUCAUGGAAGACCGAGGUGAAAGCCCGGGGCCAAACCCAGGGACUGCCCUUGGAACUGCGUGGCUGGAGUGCAGGAGGGGCGGGCGGAAUUCCAUGUGUAGCGGUGAAAUGCGUAGAUAUCAGGAGGAACACCGGCGGCGAAGGCGGCCUGCUGGUCCGCAACUGACGUUGAGGCUCGAAAGCGUGGGGAGCGAACAGGAUUAGAUACCCGAGUAGUC
rnacentral:rRNA from 1 species